GAGGAACUAAAGAACCUCUUGAUGAAGGUGAAAGAGGAGAGUGAAAAAGCUGGCUUGGAACUCAAUUUUCAAAAAACCAAGGUCAGGGCAUCCGGUCCCACCACUACAUCUGGUAUCGUCUAAAAGAGGAAAUUCUACUACAAACAACAAUGAGAAAAUAAUCUUCCUCUCUGCAUUCAAGAGUCUGGGUAGCUCUGCACAGGGACCAGUUCCUCUUCUUGACCAAGAAUCACUCAGCAAGCAAUGAUGUGAAGACCUCCAUGAGGGGAUGGGAAGAGGGAUGCCUGGAAUCCCAUGACUGCACAUUAAAAGUGUCUUUGUUUUCCAAA